UACGUAGGGGGCAAGCGUUGUCCGGAUUUAUUGGGCGUAAAGAGCGUGUAGGCGGCCGUACAGGUCAGCUGUGAAAACUCGAGGCUCAACCUCGAGACGUCGGUUGAAACCGUACGGCUAGAGUCCGGAAGAGGAGAGUGGAAUUCCCGGUGUAGCGGUGAAAUGCGCAGAUAUCGUAAGGAAGACCAGUGGCGAAGGCGGGUCUCUGGACAGUUCCUGACGCUGAGGCACGAAAGCCAGGGGAGGACGAACGGG
rnacentral:rRNA from 1 species